GUCCAGACUCCUACGGGAGGCAGCAGUGGGGAAUAUUGCACAAUGGGGGAAACCCUGAUGCAGCGACGCCGCGUGAGCGAUGAAGUAUUUCGGUAUGUAAAGCUCUAUCAGCAGGGAAGAAGAUGACGGUACCUGACUAAGAAGCCCCGGCUAACUACGUGCCAGCAGCCGCGGUAAUACGUAGGGGGCAAGCGUUAUCCGGAUUUACUGGGUGUAAAGGGAGCGUAGACGGCGAUGCAAGCCAGAUGUGAAAGCCCGGGGCUCAACCCCGGGACUGCAUUUGGAACUGUGUGGCUGGAGUGUCGGAGAGGCAGGCGGAAUUCCUAGUGUAGCGGUGAAAUGCGUAGAUAUUAGGAGGAACACCAGUGGCGAAGGCGGCCUGCUGGACGAUGACUGACGUUGAGGCUCGAAAGCGUGGGGAGCAAACAGGAUUAGAUACCCCGGUA
rnacentral:rRNA from 1 species